rnacentral:rRNA from 1 species
AAUAGAUACCCCGGUAGUCCACGCUGUAAACGUUGGGCGCUAGGUGUGGGGGGCCUCUCCGGUUCUCUGUGCCGCAGCUAACGCAUUAAGCGCCCCGCCUGGGGAGUACGGCCGCAAGGCUAAAACUCAAAGGAAUUGACGGGGGGCCCGCACAAGCGGCGGAGCAUGCGGAUUAAUUCGAUGCAACGCGAAGAACCUUACCUGGGUUUGACAUGGCCGCAAAACCGGCAGAGAUGUCGGGUCCUUCGGGGGUCGGUCACAGGUGGUGCAUGGCUGUCGUCAGCUCGUGUCGUGAGAUGUUGGGUUAAGUCCCGCAACGAGCGCAACCCUCGUUCGAUGUUGCCAGCGGUUCGGCCGGGGACUCAUCGAAGACUGCCGGGGUCAACUCGGAGGAAGGUGGGGAUGACGUCAAGUCAUCAUGCCCCUUAUGUCCAGGGCUUCACGCAUGCUACAAUGGCCGGUACAAUGGGCUGCGAUACCGUGAGGUGGAGCGAAUCCCAAAAACGCCGGUCUCAGUUCGGAUCGGGGUCUGCAACUCGACCCCGU